GGUCAAGCUACAAAGGGCGCAUGGUGAAUGCCUUGGCAUCAAGAGCCGAAGAAGGACGUGACAAGCUGCGAUAAGCUUUGGGUAGGCGCAAAUAGCCUGUGAUCCAAAGAUUUCCGAAUGAGGAAACUCACGUAGGUAACCCUACGUAUCCUGUGGUGAAUACAUAGCGACAGGAGGGUAAACCUAGGGAACUGAAACAUCUAAGUACCUAGAGGAAGAGAAAGAAACAUCGAUUCCG
rnacentral:rRNA from 1 species